UAAAAGGCGAGGAAAGGGAAUAGUAAAAAAAGAAUUUUCAGAGAGUAGAGUCCAAAGGCUGUAAGAUUCUACAAGAUUUUUUUGAACCCGCCCUGGAGCUGAAGAUAAAAAGUCUUUCCGGUAGAUUACCGUUAUCAUAAAGAGUGGGUAAACAGAAAGUUUAUCAAUUUGGGUGGUACCGCGAAUAACCUUCGUCCCUAUU
rnacentral:ncRNA from 1 species